rnacentral:rRNA from 1 species
UACGGGGGGGCAAGCGUUGUUCGGAAUUACUGGGCGUAAAGGCUCGUAGGCGGCCAACUAAGUCGGACGUGAAAUCCCUCGGCUUAACCGGGGAACUGCAUCCGAUACUGGAAGGCUUGAGUUUGGGAGAGGGAUGCGGAAUUCCAGGUGUAGCGGUGAAAUGCGUAGAUAUCAGGAGGAACACCGGUGGCGAAGGCGGGUCUCUGGGCCGUAACUGACGCUGAGGAAGCGAAAGCGUGGGUAGCAAACAGG